rnacentral:lncRNA from 1 species
UUCAAAACAAGCAAACACAUUGCAUAUAUUCUGUGAAGCCUAUGUGCAGAUGCAGGUUAGGCCAAUACACAAAUACACAAACCAAGAAUUAUAUUGAGCACUCAAUUCUUGGUAGGAUGGAAGUGAUACUGUGUUUGCUCUGUAAAUAAAUGAUAGGCCUGAACCAUGCUGUUCUCAAAACAGAGAGAAAGAAACUGCAGUCUUAGAAAGAAACUGCAAUGUUCUGUAGAGAUGCACGAUUUGUGACCCGUGCACUCCCUGUCAGUGCCUAGAUUAGUGUUGGAUGGCUGAAUAAGUUCACAUGCAAAUCUCUAAAAAUAAAAUAAAUAUACCUUACUUCUGAUAGCAAAGAACAGAUCUAGGGUUAAUGCAGUGCUGAUGGGAAGCGCCGCCACCACCUCGCCCACUAGUCUCUGCCAUCACCGGCCACUGUCACCAUGGCCGGCACCGGUGGCUCCUCGAGCCACAAGGAAAAGGUAAUACUCCCAUACCACUACCCGAAUCCCCAUGCCCACUGGAUCAACGGAUCCUAUCAAUGGUAUCAGCCCAGGUUGGCGUUAUGGAUUUUAGGUAGCAACAGAAAUCCUCCCUCCCCAAAGAACCCUAGAACAGGGCAAAGAAAAAUUCCUCUCCGGAGAAAGUAGCGCCGCCGUUAUGGCCGCGCCGUUCCUCUCGAUCCGGAAGGGCAUCGGCACGCCGAGCCGUCCGGAAGAAGAACCACCGGAGUUAGCCCAAGGGCUCGCCGGAAAAGGAGAAGGGGGGCACCGUAGCCAAACUGCUCGACGGCGGCGCGCUCACCGCGAGGUAGACGCGCAGCCGGCGAGGGGGAAGGCCACGGUGCCCCGUCGAAACCUCCGCCGUAGUCGUCGUCCAGAUCGAAAAAGAGGAGGCGUUGGUGGUGGAGACACAGAGGAGAGGACAUGAGGAAAUGGGGGGAGGAGAGGGUGGCGCGCAGCGCGGUGUCUUCGGGUCGUCGUCGCGGGCGGCCAGACUUAGCUCGUCGGUGGCCUCUGCCCCCGGCCGCGGAGACAGAUCGGAGGACGGCCUGCCCUCUCUGCAAUAGGAAAGAGAAGGGGAACAUGAGGAAAGAGAAGCGGCCAGGCUCGCGCGGUGGUGGACGCCAUCGCCGGCGGCUCGACCGGACCGGCGUGGCGCGGUCGCCCGGCGACCGGGAAAGCGUCGGGUCGAGAGAGGAUGAACGGCGCGAGAGAAAAGAAUGGGGGCGCUAGGUUUCGGUUCUGGGACUCUUUCCUGUUUUUGUUCGAGCGAGAACGACGAUCCACCUUCCGACCGCGUUGAACGGUUUGGAUUAAAACCCUAGCCUCCCCACUGGCCUUUUGGGCCGAAAGUGAUCGUGGGCUAGGCCGAGGAAGGCCGGCUCGCGCGGCCUGGCGCGGGAAGCAGGCCAUGGGCCGCUUCCUCCGCUGAGGGCCUUGAGCGCUGGGCCUGGCCGCAGCUGCGUGCUGCGCCGUGGCCGUAGCAGCGCGCUGGACCGAGGCCAGCAGCCUUGCGCGCUGGACCAAGGCAGGGCCAGUUCAUUUUGUACAGUUUCCUUUUUCUACUCAAAAAAAUUUCCAACGAAAAUUCUCUUUAGAAAAUAUAUAAAAGAAAAAAGUAGAACAGUUUCUAAAAAUGAAAAUAAAAAAAUUUCAGAAAAAUAAACGUUCAUGAAUUUAGUUGGCAAGAAGAAAAGUUUAUGUAAACAAUAAAAGUGCACUUUUAAAAGAAAAGAAAAUUUUUCUGUAAAGAAUAAUAGGUUCAUGAAUUUUCUAUUCAUGUUUUUUCCGCUGCAAAUAAAAAUAAAAGUGCUCCUUUAAAAGUGAAUAGAACUAAAAUAGAAGAUGAAAUUGUUGCUUCUCUAAUGCUUUUUUGAACCAAUUGGUUAAAAUUACUUAGAGAGUAAAAGAGUACAUAAUUGUUUCUGCAUAGAAUAUUAAAAGUUUCUGCUGCAAAGAAAAAGUUUUAUCCUCCAAUUAAAUUGGAACCAAGGGGAAAAUUUAAUUGGAAAAACUGUUCUUAGCAAUGUUUUCCCUUGUGGGUGAAAUCAGAUUCAGAUAGCUUCCGCUAUGACAAAAGAAAGAUAUUUGUUUUAAAGUUAAAAUAUGGUAUUGUUAUUUUCUAACCAACGUUGAUGAUAAUAGUACUAUAAUUCUAUGAGUCUUAUGUUCAAUGCUUAAAUCUCUGAUAAAUUUUGUAUCAAAGUGAUCAAUUUUCAGAGAACAGUUAAAGAUAAAGAAAUGCUCUUGAACUAGAGAAAUGUAUAUUUCUUGUUUCCGCUGCAAUAAAGUUGAUGAUGAUUAUUAUUUCUGAGCAAAGUUGUUUAAUAGAAAUACUAUCAUCACAUUGUUUAUGAGUUAUAUGCAUUAUUUCCAUUUCCGCCCAAUGAUGAUAUGGAAUUAAUGUAGAAGAAUGAGUUUUAUUCUAAUUCUACCACAACGGUGAUUUAGAGUAUAAAAAGGAAGUUUUGCAAAAGUUUAAUGUGCAUAUUUUUUAACCAGACCAACAUAGGGUGUAGCGACCAGACCUCAAACAGUCUGAUCUCUGUGCUUCGGUGUCAUCCCUGGAUCAUUAAUGCUAACACCACACAGUACUCGGAGGAUUUAUAACAGAGUAGCAAUCACACACUUAUUACAUCGAGUGUCUCCAUAGAGAACUUAUUACAAUAAAUAUGGCUUAAGGCCAUCUAUAACGAUAACAGCGGAAGGCUUAGAAGAUAAGUGAGUGCAUCAACUCCAACGACAUCACUGAGUAUAGAAUCACGACUUAAAAACUCGUUAAUCGUCGUCUGAAAAGUCUGCAACAUUAACGUUGCAGCCCUAAACGGGUCGGCACAUGAAAUAUGCUGGCAAGGUAACACAUAGAGAAUAAUGGAAUGAAAUAGCUAUACUAUAUGCCUAUUUGGCUGGUGGAAAGCUCUAUGGUUACAGUUUUGCGAAAAGCCAAUUUUUCCCUACUAUAAAGGAAUAAAUUUAAUUACUAUCAUGGUGGUUGUUAAACAUUGAGAAUGGUUGACAGCAUUCUCAAUCCCAAUUAAGCAUCAUCAUUAAACAAAGCCCAACAAUUAAUUUAGGAUAACAUGUUGAGAUUCACAUGAAAAUCCAGGUACUAGAUGCUCAAGAUGUCCAUAACCGGGGACACGGCUAACCAUGAUUAGUUUAUUACACUCUGCAGAGGUUUGCGCACUUUUCCCCACAAGACUCGAUCGCUUCCGUUUGGUUUCUCGCACUACAUGGUAUUUGAGAAGACGGAUGACCGAGACAUAGUAUUUCAGAAGCGCUAGCACCUUACGAUCGGGUAGACCGUACCACCUACAUCCCCUACAUCUGCUAGUCUACCACUGUAAGAGUUCGCACUACUUAGUCAACUAUGCUAGAGCCCAUAAUAGCUUGUGGCUGCACAUGGAAGUUUCUAGUAUGAAUAGUCUCAUGAUCCCUUUGAGCCUGGGUGGCGGUCCAAAAGAAAACAAGCAAGUCCUGGAAUACCCAGGUGCCUCAAUCCACCCAGAUGUGUGUUUAAGUUGCCACCUUAGAUAAACCAUUAAUUAACAAUCUCACAUCUAUCAUGGAUAUCACUCACCCAAUCCACGUCUACUAGCAUAGCAUGGCAUAAUAAGCAAACGUAGAAGUAACUCCCAAAAGUUUGAUAAUAAAUAGGUAAUAGGUACUACCUCAACUACUUCCCACCCCACAAUUUAAUUAGAUCCUAAUCAUGCAAUGUGUGAGGAUGGAUCUAAUGCAAUAAAACUGGGUAGUAGGAAAGGUAUGAUCAAAGUGUUAUUUGCCUUGCUGAUGAUCCGGGAAACCUAGCGAUUCGAAGUAACAAGCGGCGCACUCCGGGUACUCUAUCGCAAACAAACAAACAAGCAUACAAUAAGUACUCAUCUAAUGCAUGGGUAAAACUAAAAUAAGAGAUCUAACCAGAAGGUUCAACUUAAGAACUCCGGUUUGCAAAAAGAGUCAAAUCGAACGGAGCAACGAAAGUCAAACGGCGAAAGAAAACAACUUCGUUCUACUAAUCUGGAUCUAGGGCAAACUUUACAGUAGCAAAACUUGUUUAAGUUGAUUAAACGGAUAGUGGGUUUCGAGACAAAACUCCAGGCGCUUGAAUCGCCUGAUUCCGAUAAACGAGCGAAAAGUUAUACUAUAAGAAAAUCGGAUCAGGAAUCGCGAUCAAAAAAAUCGCGGAUUAAAUUCGAGAAAAGAAAAACGACGAACGUUCGCUAGAACGAACAAAUGAACGCUCGCUAUUUAAAUAAACCGAAAAGAAACCGAUCUAUUUAAAAAAAACCAAAACAAAAAAACAGACGAAAAACCGAAAGGUUUUUUGAAAAAAAAUAAAAAAAAACGGCGCGGAAAACUAGGCGGCGGCGGACCUCGGGCGGCGUGCGGCGGCGGCGGGCGCUGGGGCGGCGGGAGGCGCUGGGGGCGGCUAGGGUUUGGUUGGGGCUGGGCCUCUCGCCCCCCGGCUUAUAUAUCCUAACGGGCCGGGAGUCCUAGUCGGACACGACCAUAGGUCGGUUCGUUUUUUUUAUAUAUUACGCGCAGAAGAAAAAAAAUAAAAAGAAAUACUAAACGGACUCUAAAAAUUCCAAAAUAAAUUUUUACGGGCUUCUAAAAUCAAGCCGCACAAGGUGAACAUUUAUUUGGGGCCUAAAUACAAUUUUGAAAAAUGCACAUUUUUCCUAAAUUCAAAUAAAAUAACAAAAAACUUCGAAAUAAAAUCUUAUUUGAUUUUAUUAUUAAAUCCUCAAUAUUUAUUUAUUUUGGGAAAGUCAUUUUAUUCCCUCUCUCAUAUUUUUGUAAUAGAAAUAAUUGAUGAUAAAAUAAAUAAAAUCAAAUGAUCCUAUUCUCAAAAUUUGAGAAAACUCAAAUAUGAAAAUAAUGAAAUCCCCAACUCUCUCCGUGGGUCCUUGAUUUGCGUAGAAUUUCUAGGAUCAACCAAAAUGCAAAAUAAAAUAUGAUAUGCAUAGAUGAUCUAAUGUAUAACAUUCCAAAUUGAAAAUUUGGGAUGUUACAAACCUACCCCCCUUAAGAUGAAUCUCGCCCACGAGAUUCGGGUUGGCUAGAAAAUAGGUGAGGGUGGUCCUUGAGCAAAUCUUCCUCUCGCUCCCAGGUGGCUUCAUCCUCCGUGUGGUUGCUUCACUGAAUUUUGCAAAACUUGAUAACCUUGCUGCGAGUGACUCGGCUAGCAAACUCGAGGAUCUUAAUUGGUUUCUCCUCGUAGGUCAAAUCGUUAUCCAACUGAAUUGUUUCCAACGGCACUGUGUCUCUCAAGGGUAUGUCAGCCAUCUCAGCGUGACACUUCUUCAACUGGGAAACGUGGAACACAUCAUGAACUCCUGACAAUCCUUCAGGCAAUUCCAACCUGUAGGCCACUUCUCCCAUACGCUCCAAAACUCGAUAUGGUCCUACAAAUCGUGGCGCUAACUUUCCCUUAACUCCAAAAUGCUUUGUUCCCCGAAGUGGAGAUACUCGAAGAUAAGCUCUAUCUCCAACUUCGUAAACUGUCUCCUUCCAUUUCGAAUCUGCAUAACUCUUCUGUCUGGACUGGGCUAUCUUGAGCCUGUCGCGAAUCAACUUUACCUUCUGUUCAGACUCUUUAAUCAAGUCAGGUCCAAACAACUGGCGAUCUCCAACUUCGUCCCACGACAACGGUGUCCUGCACCUCCUUCCAUACAAAGCUUCGAAAGGGGCCAUCUUUAAACUGGUUUGAUAACUGUUGUUGUAAGAGAACUCUGCAUAUGGGAAAUUGUCGUCCCAACUAGAUCCAUAAUCUAGCGCACAAGCUCUCAGCAUAUCCUCCAAAAUCUGAUUGACUCUCUCGGUCUGUCCAUCUGUCUGUGGAUGAAAAGUUGUACUGAAUUCUAGCCUGGUACCCAAAGUUUCAUGCAACUGCUUCCAGAACUUUGAGGUAAAUUGGGUUCCUCUGUCUGAUACGAUACUCCUCGGAACUCCAUGCAAACAUACGAUCCUGGUCAUGUAUAUUUUUGCCAACAUAGUACUGGUGUAAGUGGUCUUUACCGGGAUGAAAUGAGCUACUUUCGUCAACCGAUCGACUAUAACCCAAAUCGAGUCAUAGCCUGAACGAGUCCUGGGUAAUCCUAUGAUAAAAUCCAUGCCUAACUUAUCCCACUUCCAUUCGGGUAUCGGUAAUGGUUGUAACAAUCCUGCUGGCUUCUGAUGCUCUGCCUUUACUCUCUGACAUACAUCACAGACUGCUACAUACUCCGCAAUAUCCUUCUUCAUUCCGGUCCACCAGAAAAUAUCCUUAAAAUCCAAAUACAUCUUGGUAUUUCCUGGGUGAAUCGAAUAUGGUGAAUAGUGUGCCUCUUGCAGAAUCAACUUCCUAAUCUCCGGGUCAUUGGGCACAUAAACACGGUCUUCAAACCAUAGGGUGUCGUGCUCAUCCUCACGAAAUCCUUUAGCCUUUCAUUUGCUCAGUUUCUCCUUAAGAGAGGCAAUCUCCUUGUCAGUCUUCUGAGCUUCUCUGAUUCUAUCCAUCAAGGUUGACUGAAUCUCCAAUGCUGCUACAUAGCCUCUAGGAACUAUUUCCACACAUAGUUCAUGAAGAUUUUCUUCUAACUCCCUUGGUAUUCCUCCCGUCAUUAAUGUAUUGACGUGGCUCUUACGGCUUAAUGCGUCAGCUACUACAUUAGCCUUUUCGGGAUGAUAAUGCAAUCUCAUAUCAUAAUCCUUGAUGAGCUCCAACCAUCUCCUCUGUCCGAGGUUUAACUCCUUCUGCGUGAAAAUGUAUUUCAAACUCUUAUGAUCCGUGUACACCUCACAAUGAUUUCCAAUGAGGAAAUGUCUCCAUGUUUUCAAUGCAUGCACUACAGCUGCUAACUCUAAAUCAUGCGUAGCAUAAUUCAACUCAUGAGGUUUCAGUUGUCUUGAGACAUAUGAAACAACUCUCCCUUCCUGCAUAAGCACUGCUCCAAGUCCUCGACGUGAAGCGUUGCAAUACACCUCAUAAUCCUUGGUCUGGUCUGGCAAAAUCAACACUGGUGAAGUAACCAAACGUUUCUUCAACUCCUGGAAACUAGCCUCACAUUCCUCCGUCCAUAUGAACUUGGUAUCUUUCUUCAACAACUCCAUGAUAGGCUUCGCAAUCUUUGAGAAAUUCUCAAUAAAUCUCCGGUAGUAUCCCGCGAGUCCCAGAAAACUCCGUAUCUCUCCAACCAUGGUCGGUGCUUCCUAUUUGGUCACGAUAUCAACUUUAGCGGGAUCUACUGCUAUUCCUUCUCCGGAUAUAACGUGUCCGAGGAAUCCUACUUCCUUCAACCAAAACUCACAUUUUCUAAACUUGGCAUAUAAUUGAUGUUCUCUGAGCUUUCCAAGUACCAAACGCAAAUGCUCCUUAUGCUCCUCUUCAUUCUUCGAGUAAACCAUGAUAUCAUCAAUGAACACCACGACGAACUUAUCCAAAAACUCCAUAAACACUUUGUUCAUCAUGUUCAUAAAAUAUGCAGGUCCGUUAGUCAGACCAAAUGACAUAACGGUAUACUCGUACAACCCAUACCUGGUGGUAAAAGCUGUCUUAGGAAUAUCAUGUUCUCGAAUCUUCAAUUGGUGGUACCCUGAUCACAAAUCGAUCUUGGAAAAUACCUUAGCUCCUUGCAAUUGAUCAAACAGAUCAUUGAUCAUUGGUAGUGGGUACUUGUUCUUGAUUGUUACUUCAUUCAAUCCUCGAUAAUCAACAACCAUCCUUAACGAUCCAUCCUUCUUCUCCACUAGAAGUACUGGCGAUCCCCAAGGCGAAGAACUUGGGCGAAUAUAUCCUUUAUCCAGUAACUCCUUAAUCUGCUUCUUAAUUUCCACCAAAUCCUUUGCUGGCAUCCUAUAUGGUCUCUUUGAUAUUGGCCCUGUGCCUGGCAAUAGCUCAAUCAAAAACUCAAUAUCUCUAUCCAGUGGCAUGCCUGGCAACUCUUCUGGAAAUACUUCAGGGAAAUCCCUUACCACUGGUACUUCCUCCUGCACAGCUCCUGUUAAGCAAUUUACUGGUGUCCUCUUUGGCACAUGUCGGGAUACAUACUUGAUCCUUCUCCCUUCUGGUGUGGUAAGCAAAAUUGACUUACUAGCACAUUCAAUAUUCCCUUCAUACUUUGAUAACCAAUCCAUGCCUAAUAUCACAUCCAAUCCUUGGGAUUCCAAUACUAUUAGGUCUGAGGGAAAAACAUAGUUACCAAUCCUUAAUGGUAACUGAUCACACCAUCGACUAGCCAUAUACUCUGCUCCAGGCGAGGUUACUAACAUGGGUGACCUAAGGGCUUGGGUUGACAGUUUAUACUUAUCCACAAAUCCCCUUGAGAUGUAUGAAUGCAAUGCGCCAGUAUCAAAAAGAACGAGUGCAGUAAAUGACUUAACCAAAAACUUACCUAUUACUGCAUCAUGCUGAGCUUCAACCUCCUCCACAUUAACGUGGUUCACCUGUCCCCUGUUGAAAGGGUCCGGCUUCUUCCCAGAGCUUCCAUUGCCAUUUCCAUUUUGUAAUUCAGGACAUUCAUUGGCAUAAUGUCCGGUCUUCGAACACUUAAAGCAAGUGACUUGGCUCAGGUCUUUCUUGGCUGGGGUUGAUGGGUUGGUGCGAUUCUGGCCGUUGCUUCCUCCAUUACCAUUACCAUUCCUGGUGCCAUUGUGAUUGUGUGAGCUACCUCCUCCAUGGGUAUGCUGAAAAUGUCCUCCCGGUCUAGGGGUAAAACGUGGCUUCUGCUGAGCUCCUGAAUUGUAUUUCCCUUGUCCAUACUUCCUCUUGUGGUUCUUAAUUUGCUACUGCUUGCCUUCAAUCAUAAGAGCAUGAUCUACCAACUCCUGAUAGUUGUUGAAGGUUGCUACCAUCAACUGCAUGCUCAACUCAUCAUUCAGUCCUUCUAGAAACUUCUCCUGCUUUGCUGCAUCCGUAGCAACAUCAUCUGGGGCAUAACGUGCUAACUUACUACGGUCCUCCACAUACUGGCCAACUGUCCGUCCUCCUUGGUGCAAGUUGCGGAACUCACGCUUCUUCAUGGCCAUAGCUCCUGCUGAAACAUGGGCAGUACGAAAGGCCUGUUGAAACUGGUCCCAUGUGACAGUGUCGACAGGGAAAGUGGCUGUGAAAUUCUCCCACCAUGAUGCUGCGGGUCCUUCAAGCUGAUGUGCGGCAAACUUCACCUUCUCUGCAUCCGUGCAUCCUACUGUGGUCAACUCUCUAGCUGUCUUGCGGAGCCAAUCAUCUGCUACUAUCGGCUCGGUGCUACUGGAAAACACCGGUGGAUUCAGCCUAAGAAAACGCGCUAAGUGAUCAACAGGUGGUGGUGGUGGUGGGUUGUUGUUGUUGUUCCCCUGAUUCUGAUUCUGGACUAGCAACUGCAUCAAUGUGUUCUACUGCUGGAUCAACUAUGUGAGCUCUGGUGGAAAGGAAAAUCCGGGGUCAUGUCUCGGAGGCAUCUGAGGGUUUAGAAAAGAUGAGAUGUAAGAAUAGAGGGGUCUAAAGAGAAAACACUACCCAUAUGCACAUGAGGCAAAAGCAAACAAUUCACUUCAUUCAAUCAAACAAGGGCAUACAAUCGAUGUAACUAUCGCAAAAGUGCUCGGACUACUAUAUUUACAUGGUGGACUACUACUACUGAUGAGGUGGUCUACUAGAAAUAUUCUUCAGUUGCAGACUCCAUGAUAUCUGCUCCAGCUUCGUCAACAUAAUCAUCAUCGCUAUCGUCUGGAUUCGAAUUCUGUGUCGUCGAUGAUGAUGUAGUCUUCCGGGCGAAUCUCCUUGGGUUCUUCAUCUUCAUCUACUGGUGUAGGGCCUCCCAUAAAUAUCCCGAUCUUCUUUGUUAGGUCGGCAUUCUUAUCCACUAAUACUUCAAUUUCCUCUUCAUAAUUUUCACGUGUAGCCUUGAGUUCUUCCUCCAGUUCCUUGAUUAUUGUCUUAGCCUUCUUCAGAUCUAUCAUGUCGGCGCACAUCUGGUUUUCCUGUCGUCGAAUGUGAUGGUUUAAGUCCUGGAUAAAAGCAGCAAUUGAUCUAUCCUUCCGGGUGCUGAUCAUCUCCCAGUGCUCAUCUCGGCGUCCACAAAUCUGGUAGAUAGUAUCCUUGAGAUCAUUGUGGUAGACUUCUCCAAUGUGUCCCAUGGCGAUGUGAGCUGCCAUGCUCUUUCCUAGACUCCAAGUUGGUGCAUCAAAAGAAAACUCUAUGGGCUCAGUGACUGGCAUGAACGUCCUUCCUGAAACUUGAACUUGAAUCAUCCAGCGCUCUUCUUCAGGUAAAGUGGCGUUGUAGGUUCCGGUGAAGCUUGGUACUCCUAUGUUCAGGUAUCUAGUGACUUCCUUCAAGUGUCGUCCAAAGGGUGUAUCUUCAUUCGGUUGCGUGAACUUGUUCCUUGCAUCCGCCAUCCUAAAAGAGUAAAAAAGAUGAGGAGUCAGAAGACAAGAGGGUGAAUAGUGUUCUAGAUCUUUAGCUUAAUGGUCGUGUCCUACAGUCAGCGUGUGCUCUGAUACCAUCUCUAUAGCAACCACACCUCAAACAGUCUGAUCUCUGUGCUCUGGUGUCAUCCCUGGAUCAGUAAUGCUGACACCACACAGUACGCGGAGGAUUUAUAACAGAGUAGCAAUCACACACUUAUUACAUCGAGUGUCUCCAUAGAGAACUUAUUACAAUAAAUAUGGCUUAAGGCCAUCUAUAACGAUAACAGCGGAAGGCUUGGAAGAUAAGUGAGUCCAUCAACUCCAACGGCAUCACUGAGUAUAGAACCACGACCUAAAAACUCCUUAAUCGUCGUUUGAAAAGUCUGCAACAUUAACGUUGCAGCGCGAAACGGGUCAGCACAUGGAAUAUGCUGGCAAGAUAACACAUAGAGAAUAAUGGAAUGAAACAGCUAUACUAUAUGCAUAUUUGGCUGGUGGAAAGCUCUAUGGUUACAGUUUUGCGAAAAGCCAAUUUUUCCCUACUACAAAGGAAUAAAUUUAAUUACUAUCAUGGUGGUUGUUAAACAUUGAGAAUGGUUGACAGCAUUCUCAAUCCCAAUUAAGCAUCAUCAUUAAACAAAGCCCAACAAAAUUAAUUUAGGGUAACAUGUUGAGAUUCACAUGAAAAUCCAGGUACUAGAUACUCAAGAUGUCCAUAACCGGGGACACGGCUAACCAUGAUUAGUUUAUUACACUCUGCAGAGGUUUGCGCACUUUUCCCCACAAGACUCGAUCGCCUCCGUUUGGUUUCUCGCACUACAUGGUGUUUGAGAAGACGGAUGACCGAGACAUAGUCUUUCAGAAGCGCUAGCACCUUACGAUCGGGUAGACCAUACCACCUACAUCCCCUACAUCUGCUAGUCUACCACUGUAAGAGUUCGCAUGACUUAGUCAACUAUGCUAGAGCCCAUAAUAGCUUGUGGCUGCACACGGAACUUUCUAGUAUGAAUAGUCUCAUGAUCCCUUUGAGCCUGGGUGGCGGUCCAAAAGAAAACAGGCAGUCCAAAAGAAAACAGGCAAGUCCUGGAAUACCCAGGUGCCUCAGUCCACCCAGAUGUGUGUUUAAGUUGCCACCUUAGAUAAACCAUUAAUUAACAAUCUCACAUCUGUCAUGGAUAUCACUCACCCAAUCCACGUCUACUAGCAUAGCAUGGCAUAAUAAGCAAACGUAGAAGUAACUCCCAAAGGUUUGAUAAUAAACAGGUAAUAGGUACUACCUCAACUACUUCCCACCCCACAAUUUAAUUAGAUCCUAAUCAUGCAAUGUGUGAGGAUGGAUCUAAUGCAAUAAAACUGGGUAGUAGGAAAGGUAUGAUCAAAAUUUUACAGUAGCAAAAACUUGUUUAAGUUGAUUAAACGGAUAGAGGGUUUCGAGACGAAACUCCAGGUGCUUGAAUCGCCUGAUUCCGACAAACGAGCGAAAAGUUAUACUAAAAAAAAUCGGAUCAGGAAUCACGAUAAGAAAAAUCGUGGAUUAAAUCCGAGAAAAGAAAAAUGACGAACGUUCGCUAGAACGAACGAACGGACGAACGCUCGCUAUUUAAAUAAACCGAAAAAACCGAUCUAUUUAAAAAAAACUGAAACAAAAAAAACCGACGAAAAAACCAAACGGUUUUUCGAAAAAAACAAAAAACAACCGGCACAGAAAACGAGGCGGCGACGGACCUCGGGCGUCGUGCGGCGGCGGCGGGCGCUGGGGCGGCGGGCGGCGCUGGGGGCGGCUAGGGUUUGGCUGGGGCUGGGCCUCUCCCCCCCGGCUUAUAUAUCCUAACGGGCCGGGAGUCCUAGUCGGACACGAUCCUAGGUCGGUUCGUUUUUUUAUAUAUUACGCGCGGAAGAAAAAAAUAAAAAGAAAUACUAAACAGACUCCAAAAAUUCCGAAAUAAAUUUUUAGGGGCUUCUAAAAUCAAGCCGCACAAGGUGAACAUUUAUUUAGGGCCUAAAUGCAAGUUUGAAAAACGCACAUUUUUCCUAAAUUCAAAUAAAAUAACGAAAAACCGAAAUAAAAUCUUAUUUGAUUUUAUUAUUAAAUCCUCAAUAUUUCUUUAUUUUGGGAAAGUCAUUUUAUUUGCUCUCUCAUAUUUUUGUAAUAGAAGUAAUUGAUGAUAAAAUAAAUAAAAUCAAAUGAUCUUAUUCUCAAAAUUUGAGAAAACUCAAAUACGAAAAUAAUGAAAUCCCCAACUCUCUCCGUGGGUCUUUGAGUUGCGUAGAAUUUCUAGGAUCAACCAAAAUGCAAAAUAAAAUAUGAUAUGCAUAGAUGAUCUAAUGUAUAACAUUCCAAAUUGAAAAUUUGGGAUGUUACAUAGGGUUAUUUUUAUGCUCAUUAUUGUUGAUUAUUAGCUAAGUUCUCUCAAACUAAAAGUUUUCCAUGCUUUCAUUCAUGAAAGCGAAUGGUUGGGUACUUGUGACCCAAAAGAUGAUCAAGAAAGGUCAUAACGUGAGAUAGUAUGUUCUCUCUAAAGAAUGGUUUCAAAAGAAAAGAGAUUGAUCAUUGAGAGUCUUGGUUGACGAAUGUCUUUCAUGUACUCUCUAUGAUUUCAGAUAAAACAAGCAACAUGCGUGUUUAAUUUGACCAACGUCGGAUCAAGCAUGUGUGUCAAAGAGCAUUAGGAUUUAUUCCUAAAUUUGAUGAUUGAAUAAUGCAGUCAAAAGAGCCAAUUCUGGCAUUUAUGUCCCUUACAAGGAAUUACCCGCAUGGCGGAAAAAGAUGAUUAUGAUAAAACCCGCAUGGCAGGAAAAGUCUGGGAAAAUACGUGUGUAACGGGGUAAACUUGACAUAAUAUUAUGUCAAAAUCUCUUAUGGAGGGAGAAAUUCUGGCAAAGGACUUAUCCUGUAUGAUAGGAGAAAGAUAUGAUGACUCAUGUGCUUUUAAUGUGUCCCACUCUGGGAGAAAAGUAUGGAGUAGCUAUUAUGCUUUCCUAGUAUCGACUGUACACCUUGUGUGAACGGUCAUUAACCACUCAAUAAAUCCAAAGAGAAUAAAAGUGAGAGACGAACCUAAAGAUAAGAUUGAUAUGCAAGUGUGACUUGCAAAAGUACUAAUAAUAAAGAACUUUGUUGAGUUUCUAAAAUGGAAUGAGGAAAAAGUACUCCCAUAUCAGUUAACAGAUAACUUCAUUUCGCAUGAAGUAAUCAGAUGAAUGAAAUAUAUUGAAGUUUCCUCAAUUCACAAAAGUUAUGAAUGGUUUUCGAAAUUGUGGCAGAAAGAAAUAUUAGAUAAAUUAAGAAUGAUGAAACUCCCCUAUACUUUAGAUGAUGUGAUGCACAUUAUGCAUCUAAAGUGAUCCAUUAAUGAAGAAUGUGAUCGUCUGGGGGAGUACGACGGUCGGAAUAAUACCCCUAAAGAACAGAAAUAGUUGUAUUCCUAGAUCUUUUAUAGUUUCGACAGCAGACUAAGGAAUACUAAGGCGGUGCUUAAAAGUGCUAUAAAGAAGAAAGUUUUAACAGAAUAAACCCAAAUAAUAAAGUUUAAAGAUACCCCAUUUUAGUGAAGAUGGAGUAAUCUGGGGGAGCAUGGUAUGAAAAUACCAAAGACUAUAGAAUAAAUUUGCCUCUUGGCAAUGACAGAGCAACAACAGCCACAUAUGAAAGAAGUGCCAGUACCUGAGACACAGAUGGUCUCAAGGAAUGAGAAAAUCUGAUACUUCUGAUUACUAUAAAGUCUAUGUUAGCGAAAUUCAAAUGGAGAUUGAGUCCACCUCAUUUAAAGUGCUCAAUCGAGCUUUGAGAAGUGUAUGUUUGUCUAAAUGAUAAGAGACUAUAUGAGAUGAAAUAAAAUUGGUGAAUCCCAAUGAUGUUUGGGACUCAUAAGUAAUUUCCAAUGGUGCAUAAACAGUAGGCUAUAAAAGGUCUACAAGGUCAAUGUGUUUCCAAAGGAAAGAUUUUGUGCAAAGAGAAUGAAUAGAUUACAAUGAGUGUUAGUGGCACAUCAUGAUCGACAUCAUGAUCUGAGUUACAUCAGAUGAAACUAAAGAACACAAGGGAUACUACUUCAAGAAGUUUUUAUGGACUAGAGCAAGUCUCUAGACAGUGGCAUUUAAAGUUAAAAGAAUGAGAUGUUAUUUUGGGUUAAAGAAAAUGAGAGGACAAUUGUAUUCAUGGAAAGUUAUAGAAUAGGAAAUUCAUCCUAAUCCUGUGCAUGUGGAUGGCGUCCUACUUGCUAGUGGUCAUGUCAAUCUACUGCAGGAGGAAAAAAGAAGUUCUUGUCCUCAAAGUUCAAAAGAAUGUUCUCGGUAGAGUGUCUCUCGUUAUAAUUAUCGAGAUUCACCAAGAAAAGAAUAAAAGGGGGUAUUCGGAAUGUCGCAUGGACAUGCUAAGAAAGGUCUCUAAAGUAUGCAUGCGAGAAAACCUACGCCCGUUCUUAUAGUCAAGGGUAAUGGAACCAGAAACUAUGGUGUUCCAAAAGUUGAUGAGAAAAGAUUGAAAACGGAUAUGGUACCAUAUGCUUCAGCUGUUGGAAGUUUAAUGAAUGCAAAAGUAUGAUUUUACCCUAAUGUAGUUCACGUAUCCGGGUUGUUUUGGCAAUGUCCAGUCCAUAUAUAGACCACUAGAAUGGAGUCAAAGAUAUCGGCCUCAUGCUGAAAGAAAUAAGUUCUCUCAAAAUAUUGUGAGUACAAAGACAGGACUUGUGAAAUGUAUAGCAAAAUCGACAAUUGUCGCUAACUUUCACACUUGGAGUUUUGGUGUGGAAAUGCUCCAAAGAAUGAAACAAUUAUCAUCAAUGUGAUUCAAAUAUAUGUUAUAGCUUGAUAUGAGGCUGAGGGACAGGCAAAAUGGUUAUGAAGACCUGUACCCGGAGUUGAUAAUGGUUGAUAACAACGAUAACCAUUUUAAGCUUUUCGCUCCUAUGACAACGAGUCAAGUGUUGAUGCCAAACACACUGACAUAGAGUUAUGCGUUGUAAAGGAGAAAGUCCGGAAUUAUGUAGAAAUGCUUGAAUUAUAAAAGAAACAGAUAAGUGUUUGUAGAUCUGCUUAUUAAAGGCUUACCGCCCAGUGUGUUCGGAGGACACACAGUCGACAUGGGUUUUAUGGACAAUAAAGGGCCCAAGGUUAAAGAAUUUGUUUCAAAACAGAGAGGUACGUUGUGGCUGUCUGAUUCUAUCGGCAAUUGAGCUGUGACGAUGAAACAUGUUCUAUGUAUUGAUCUGUUAUGAAAUGAGUAAAGUAAAAGUAUAAGGUCAAAAGUAAAAGUUGAGAUCAAGGGGGAGAAUGUUAGGAUGAUCUCCACCGUGUGGGCCCAAUGGCCCACCGGGCCCUUAGAUCCGCGCCCUAAUCGGGGCGCUCAACCCACUAUGGUUGACGGCCCCCUGUCACCUGCACUAUAUAAAGAGAUGGGGGUCAGCGGCUCGCACCACGAGGUUCGUCGCAACGCGGUACACCCCACCUAAUCCCCUACCGAUCUAGGGUUAGUGCAGUGCUGAUGGGAAGCGCCGCCACCACCUUGCCCACUACUCUCUGCCAUCACCGGCCACUGUCACCAUGGCCGGCCCCGGUGGCUCCUCGAGCCACAAGGAAAAGGUAAUACUCCCAUACCACUACCAGAAUCCCCAUGCCCACUGGAUCAACAGAUCCUAUCAAAUUUAAGUUAAUGUCAGAUCUGUUUGUCGAAUGGUUAAAGCAUUUGUCGUAUGGUUAAAGCAAAGGGAAUGAUUUCCAUUCAUUCCGUCUCUUUCCACAACAAAUUAUUGCGGUGAUUGAUUUACUGAAUAAUGUAUGCAUGCAUAUCUCUGAACUGAAUAUUCUGUUUUGCUUUAUGGGUGGAAGUAUCUUGUGGCAACCUUGUUUCUGAAUAAAAUACAUAGGUUAGAAAUAAACUGCUUUAAGAUCAUAGAGCACGCAAUUGCACGUCUAACUUAUCGGCCACAGUAGUACUUUUACUGUAUUUGCAACAACACAUUCUAACCAGAGCAACAGGUUCAGAGCCCUUGAUCAUGACAACUUCAAAACAAGCAAACACAUUGCAUAUAUUCUGUGAAGCCUAUGUGCAGAUGCAGGUUAGGCCAAUACAUAAAUACACAAACCAAGAAUUAUAUUGAGCACUCAACUCUUGGUAGUAUGGAAGUGAUACUGUGUUUGCUCUGUAAAUAAAUGAUAGGCCUGAACCAUGCUAUUCUCAAAACAGAGAGAAAGAAACUGUAGUCUUAGAAAGAAACUGCAAUGUUCUGUAGAGAUGCACGAUUUGUGACCCGUGCACUCCCUGCCAGUGCCUAGAUUAGUGUUGGAUGGUUGAAUAAGUUCACAUGCAAAUCUAUAAAAAUAAAAUAAAUAUACCUUAC